rnacentral:rRNA from 1 species
AGUGAACGCUGGCGGUAGGCCUAACACAUGCAAGUCGAACGGCAGCGCAGUAAGAGCUUGCUCUUACGGGUGGCGAGUGGCGGACGGGUGAGGAAUACAUCGGCAUCUACUUUUUCGUGGGGGAUAACGUAGGGAAGCUUACGCUAAUACCGCAUACGACCUACGGGUGAAAUCAGGAGUUCUUCGGACCUUUCGCGAUAGAAAGAGCCGAUGUCGGAUUAGCUAGUUGGCGGGGUAAAGGCCCACCAAGGCGACGAUCCGUAGCUGGUCUGAGAGGAUGAUCAGCCACACUGGAACUGAGACACGGUCCAGACUCCUACGGGAGGCAGCAGUGGGGAAUAUUGGACAAAGGGCGCAAGCCUGACCCAGCCAUACCGCGUGGGUGAAGAAGGCCUUCGGGUUGUAAAGCCCUUUUGUUGGGAAAGAAAAGCAGCAGGUUAAUACCCCGCUGUUCUGACGGUACCCAAAGAAUAAGCACCGGCUAACUUCGUG